GGCGGCGUACCCAAGCGGCAAGGGGGAGGUCUGCAAAACCUUUAUGCGCCGGUUCAAAUCCGGCCGCCGCCU
rnacentral:tRNA from 1 species